rnacentral:rRNA from 1 species
CCCUUAGAUGUCCGGGCCGCACGCGUGCUACACUGAUGCAUUCAACGAGUCUAAAACCUGGUCUGAUAGGGCUGGGUAAUCUUUUGAAAGUGCAUCGUGAUUGGGAUAGAUGAUUGCAAUUCUUCAUCUUCAACGAGGAAUGCCUAGUAAACGCAAGUCAUCAGCUUGCAUUGAUUACGUCCCUGCCCUUUGUACACACCGCCCGUCGCUCCUACCGAUUGAAUGAUCCGAUGAAUACCAUGGAUUGAGAGUACGAAUAGGUUCGCUUAUUUCUGCUGCUCGAGAAGUGGAGUAAAUCUUAUCAUUUAGAGGAAGGAGAAGUCGUAACA